rnacentral:tRNA from 1 species
GCCCUGGUGGCGGAAUUGGUAUACGCGGCAGUUUGAGGGGCUGUGCCUUUAUGGCGUGGAGGUUCGAGUCCUCUCCAGGGCA